CCCUACGGGGCGCAGCAGUGAGGAAUAUUGGUCAAUGGGCGGGAGCCUGAACCAGCCAAGUCGCGUGAAGGAAGAAGGUACUUAGUAUUGUAAACUUCUUUUGUCGGGGAACAAAGGCGGAGACGCGUCUCCGGAUGAGUGUACCCGAAGAAAAAGCAUCGGCUAACUCCGUGCCAGCAGCCGCGGUAAUACGGAGGAUGCGAGCGUUAUCCGGAUUUAUUGGGUUUAAAGGGUGCGUAGGCGGCCUUUUAAGUCAGCGGUGAAAGUCUGUGGCUCAACCAUAGAAUUGCCGUUGAAACUGGGGG
rnacentral:rRNA from 1 species